AAACUUCUAUCUUGAGUCAUGAUGGCACUAAGAGCCGCGCUCAAGGGCCUAGUGUGUAUCCCCCGCGAGGAUUCGGACGCACGUGGGCUUUCUGAUAUGUUUUGUGGGGCUGACCACUUUGCACACGAAAGAGCCUCCAGGAAAGAACGUCAUCCCGGGGAAAGAGAUGCCAUCCUUAUGGACAUUGAUCAGCAUGGUGCUCCCUAGAGUCGGGUGAUGUGGCUUUCCCUCUGGUCACUGAUGGGGAAAAGAGGCCAGGGAAACUGUGUUUGCCCAGCAAGUCAAGGACUCAGGCUGUCUGUCCCCUGGCAGUCUCUUCCUCCUUCCGUGGAUUACUUCCCAAGAAAAGGACCUCUCCAUCCUCCGCUCUACCCUCCUGAGGCCCUCUUCCCCACCCAGGUGAUCAGGAAGCAGGUGGCGGGUCCUUUCCAGGUUCUGGAACACCAUUCUUCCCAGCCUUCACACCCACGGACCCACGUGGAGGUGACGUGACUGUUUUAUUGAACGGCCAGGAGAGCUUCCAGAAAUAGCUCCAGAUGGAAGGACAGGAACGAGGGACCUCACCCAAUGAGCUUGCCUCCUCCCCAGAGGGGAAAUGUGUCACCCUGUGUCUUCGGAAUUAUCUAUAUGCUGGGAAGGCAGUUCUCUGCGACUUCCCAGAAUGAAAGAUUUAGAAGAAAGGCAGAACUCUGCGUCUAAAAAG